rnacentral:rRNA from 1 species
CCCUUAGAUGUCCUGGGCCGCACGCGUGCUACACUGAUGCAUACAGCGAGUACUUUCCAGCUCCGCGAGGCAGCUGGUAAUCAGCAAUAUGCAUCGUGCUGGGGAUAGAUCUUUGGAAUUAUAGAUCUUGAACGAGGAAUUCCUAGUAAGCGCAAGUCAUUAGCUUGCGCUGAUUAAGUCCCUGCCCUUUGUACACACCGCCCGUCGCUCCUACCGAUUUCGAGUGAUUCGGUGAACCUUUUGGACAGCGUCUGUCCUCGUGUCAGGUGCUGAAAGUCAAGUAAACCAUAUCACUUAGAGGAAGGAGAAGUCGUAACA